UACGUAGGGGCAAGCGUUGUUCGGAAUUACUGGGCGUAAAGGGCUCGUAGGCGGCCAACUAAGUCGGACGUGAAAUCCCCAGGCUCAACCUGGGAACUGCGUCCGAUACUGGAUGGCUUGAAUUCGGGAGAGGGAUGCAGAAUUCCAGGUGUAGCGGUGAAAAUGCGUAGAUAUCUGGAGGAAUACCGGUGGCGAAGGCGGCAUCCUGGACCGGCAUUGACGCUGAUGAGCGAAAAGCUAGGGGAGCAAACGGG
rnacentral:rRNA from 1 species